rnacentral:rRNA from 1 species
CCUACGGGAGGCAGCAGUGGGGAAUAUUGCACAAUGGGGGAAACCCUGAUGCAGCGACGCCGCGUGAGUGAAGAAGUACUUCGUUAUGUAAAGCUCUAUCAGCAGGGAAGAAAAUGACUGUCCCUGAGUAAGAAGCCCCGGCUAACUACGUGCCAGCAGCCGCGGUAAUACGUAGGGGGCAGGCGUUAUCCGGAUUUACUGGGUGUAAAGGGAGCGUAGACGGCAGUGCAAGUCUGGAGUGAAAGGCGGGGGCUAAACCCCCGGACUGCUCUUGAAACUGUACGGCUGGAGUGCAGGAGAGGUAAGUGGAAUGCGUGGUGUAGCGGUGAAAUGCAUAGAUAUUAGGAGGAACACCAGUUGCGAAGGCAGCUUACGGGACUGUAACUGACGUUGAGGCUCGAAAGCGUGGGGAGCAAACAGGAUUAGAUACCCUUGUAGUC